AUGUAUCGUUGCGGAAGGUGCCCCUGUGUUUUUAACAAUUUGAUGGACUACGUUGACCACUGUAGACAUGUACAUGAAGCGAGCAGAAUACCGUGCUGUCAUGUAUUAUGUGUGUACACGGCGGCGAACUAUGCAGCACUCAGAUGUCACAUUUUGGGACGUUACAAUAACACACCAGAACGGUCGCCUCGAAGCAAUUUGCUCUCCGAAACCACGAAAGUAUAUCAUGUCACGUCCAUUAGUGCUCGCGUCAGUUCACUACGAAUAUAUAUAUAUACUGUCACAUAUGAAGCAGCACAUAAUAGAAGGUCAUGAUCAGAUGUCCUUAUGAACGCUGCCAGAAGAACUUCCGUGCCGUCUCCGCGUUUUGUGUGCACCUUCAUAUGUUCUUCCAUUGAAAAAAUAAAACGGUGACUAUGAUCUCCUUUCUCUGUGCAGUGUUUCGAUGCCAGAGCUGACUGAUGGGUGCACAUGGUUCCUUCUGUUUUCAUGCCAGAGCUGACUGAUGGGGUGCACAUGGCUCCUUCGUAUGUUCUUCCUUUGAAAAAAUAAACGGCAAGUAUAACUGCAUGUUAAUUGCCCUGUUCCCUGGAACAGUUGCCUUUCUCUUUGCAAUGUUUUGAUGCUAGAGCUGACUGAUGGGUGCACAUGGUUCCUUCGUAUGUUCUUCCUUUGAAAAAAUAAACGUGUUUGGAUGCCAAAGCUGCCACCGUAAAACCACCGUAAAAAAAACGGCCAAUGUUUGGCAGCCAACUUUCCUUGCAUUUGCCCGGUUUUUUUUUUUGUGAAAUUUUUUACAGUGUAUCUCCUCUCGAACAAAGCAUUCUCUGCUUGUCCUUCUUCCUCUUUGUCACACAAUACCUUCGCUUCAAAAUUUUCGAAAUCCUAUACUAGCCAGCACGAAGAAGCGUAGGAAAGAAACGUAACAAAGCACCUGCACCUCCUCCGUCUCUACAAAGCGCGGAAACUCAGUUAUACGGAACCGAUUCAAUUCGUGACGAGAGCACUGCGACACAGAGGGAAUAAUCGUGUUUUCCCCCCACGGCUCUCUCUUUUCUCCCUCCCGAUUACAGUUUUGUAUUUGCAUCUUUUCGCAAUUCGAGCAGCCCCGUUCAUUCGGAGACGUUUCAAUUUUCUUGCCAAUGGAAUUGUCUCGUCCCUUUCGCGGGCGUCUUGCAUUAGCCCUGGUAGUCCGCUUACAGCGAACCGUACUUCCAGCCGUUUCCUUCACAUUGCUCUGGUAUAACGAUUCCACGUGUGUACCUUUUAAAGCGAUUGAAAAUAAACAAAUAGAAGAAAGUUCAUUAAAGUUUCAUUGUGAAAUGUCGUCCUCGGAAAUUACUGCGCGAUGACGGUGGGUCCUGGGAGAUUAGUUUUGAGGGAAGAGAUUUUUCUACCUGAACGGGCCGUGAAAUGAGGUGCGUCUUCGAACAAUGAGCGAAAAAGAGAGAGGGAGAGUGUGUGUGUGAGAGAGUGAGAGAAAUGGAUAGUGAAGUCGUUUUGAGAUGUAAAAGAUGUACUGAGAAAUGUGAAGAAUGGAAAUAAAGGACUUGAUAUGUGAAUCUU